ACGAAGAAACAAGAGGCCGUGCGAAUCCUGGACGCAGCUGGAGGCCAAAGUGGAAGCUGGAAUCGGCCAUAUUUGGCCGGAGAGAGCACGAUCGAGGGAAGGUAGGGCUCUCGUCGAUCCGAGCAUCGCGAUUCAACGAGCGUGGAUGGAAGGGGGAAGCUCGAGCAGGGAUGAUGGGGGCUAGAACGUCGACUACGUUGGGGCGGGGUGCUUCGAAACCACCCCUGGUGCCUGGAAUAAUCCCUCGUAUAAAUUGGAUUGUCGGUAGAACGUGGAAACUGAACUCUACUGCAGCCAGAGUGGUCGGAAGAGGCGAGAGAGAGGUUGGUUGCAAAUAGAAGGGAAAAGGAAACUCGCGGUGCAACUCCUCCGGACGCACGUACAGUCCGCCACCUUCGCUCACACAACUGUGAAAACUCGUUCGCGAACGCACACGUUCGUAGUGGAGAAGGAUAGGUACAACGUAGGUUACACGAGGGGCGGCAAUUCAUACGCGCGCCCACCCUCACCCUCCGUGAUUUUGGCUUGUCUGCCGUCGCAACGAUUGCGGGGGUGGAAACGGUCGCUGGAUUAUGCUCGUCCGCGGUCGAACUCGCGUGCAACGGCGUGCAAUUAUGCACACGUUAUUGUGCCAGCACUCUCUCUUAUCGAGCUAAUGUCACCGCGCUCAAACUCCUUCCCUGCCAUUGACUAUAUCAGACAGGGGUGGCGCGGUGCACGUUUACUCUGCGAUGCCGUCAGAUUCCGUGCACUCUACCGUUUGCUAAAACGAGCUAAACCAAGGAUCUUCUAUUUUGUGCUCCGGUGAAUUUGAUCUGUGUGAUACGAUGAAACAACGAUAACUAAGUGAUGUUACGAUACAUAAUGAGGAUAUGUAGGAAGCAUUUUGUACAAUUAUAAUUCAAUGGUAUCAGGUUCUGUGUACCUUGUUUAUAGAAAAACUAGAGCUAGAAUAAGAAGAUUUUAUAUCGUGUAUUUGAUUUGUGUGAUACGAUCGAACAAUAAUAUUUAAAUGAUACUAUGAUACGCAUAACGAAGAUGUACAUAUAAACAUGUUGGCAACAAUUUGUAAAGUUGGUGGGUUUCUUAAGUGAAUCACUUAGUGAAUUGCAUUAGACGACUGUAAGAAGAAACGGUUGAGAAGAGGGAGCAAAGUGGUUGAAAAAUAUGUAAUUGGAGCUAUGUAAGUCGAUGGUAUAGCGAGUGGAAACUUGGAGGAGCGAAAAUGGAACUCAUCGCGGAAAUGGAAGGGAUUAAUCUCCAAAGAUGAUCUCCUGAAACAGAUAUCCGACGUACAAUUGGGAUGGUUCCGAGUUGUGACCGCUACAUCUUGUUACCGCGAGGUAAACGGGCGAUACGUGACGAUCACAGGGGGAACGCUCCGACAAAUAGCCAGGGCUGGUUGUUUACAAGACGCAGAAAGUUCCUCCGGCUGCGCGAUGAAACGCCCUACGCCUCGCAGAAAAAUGACAACUCAAUUUCGUCGACGGAGCUCUUGACACUCGGAGGCUGCCGGCGUUAUAUCUGCCAGCAUUGUUUCAGGGAGAAAGUCGAGCGUGCUUGCUUAAUUUCCCGUGCAGGUUCCAAAGAAUUGCUGCCUUAUUUCCAGACCGGCCGUUUCGCCGCACCUGCACCCGCGUUCGUAGGAAAAAAGGAAAACCAUGGACGAAUGGGCGAACGUUCGAUAAAGGGGAAGUCGAGAGGGAAACGACAGAAUCGCAACGAACGAAGCUCGAUUCUCUUGGAAAGUGUAGGUGGAGUCGAGUAGAUUAUCCGAGCAGACAGCGAAAUGGUAAAGUUGUCAGCCGACGGGUACGCGUCGGAGGGCAAAAGACGAGGCGAGAGAAAGCAGACUAUCUUUGAAAGAGGGAGAGACAGAAAGAAAAAGGAGGCGAUCCAACAGGAAACGAGGAGAGAAAGAAACGGAGAGAAAGCUUUUUAGGCCUUUCCUCGAAACACUGCAGACACAGCUGUGCGAAAACUGCAAUGACACGCCCCCUCGCCCCUAUCUCUCCCCUGUGCCCUCGUCUCUUUCGUCUUCCACCCUCGAGACGUCGAUGGUCAGGGAUAGGUUCUCCUGGAGCUCGACGAGCUUUGGCUAGGGAGCCAGGGUCGAUUCGAACCACCGCCGAGAGUUUUCGUUCCGUGAUGGGGGACCAACAUACGUGUACGUACCUCUACACCGACACAUAGCUAAAUAUAUACAAACAAACCUGAUGGAAGAUCACGGAGGAUCGUAUUUUUGUUGAUUUCCUAAUUUUAACAUCGCUGUAUAACUAACCAGGAGAAUUUUAACGAUACGUUUGAACACGAACAUUAGGAACUGGCUACGUAAAAGAAGUUGGUAUCACGAUAAUAAUCUUAGCGAUCAAAAUCUGUGGGUAUUUAAUAAACUGUAGAUACAUAAAUGUCA